rnacentral:rRNA from 1 species
AUCAACGCUGGCGGCGUGCCUAACACCUGCCAGUCGAACGCGAAAGCCCCGCAAGGGGUCAGUAGAGUGGCAAACGGGUGCGUAACACGUGGGUGACCUGCCUUCGAGUGGGGGAUAACGUCCCGAAAGGGACGCUAAUACCGCAUGACAUCCUGCUUUUGAAAAAGCGGAGAUCAAAGCUGGGGAUCGCAAGACCUAGCGCUUGAAGAGGGGCCCGCGCCUGAUUAGCUAGUUGGUGAGGUAACGGAUCACCAAGGCGACGAUCAGUAUCCGGCCUGAGAGGGCGGACGGACAAACUGGGACGGAGACACGGCCCAGACUCCUACGGGAGGCAGCAGUGGGGAAUUGUUCGCAAUGGGCGCAAGCCUGACGACGCAACGCCGCGUGGAGGACGAAGAUCUUCGGGUCGUAAACUCCUGUCGAGCGGGACGAACGCUUCGCGGAUGAAUAAUCCGCGGAAUUGACGGUACCGCUAAAGGAAGCCCCGGCUAACUCCGUG